rnacentral:rRNA from 1 species
UCCUCUUCGGAGGACAAAGUGACAGGUGGUGCAUGGUUGUCGUCAGCUCGUGUCGUGAGAUGUUGGGUUAAGUCCCGCAACGAGCGCAACCCUUGAACUUAGUUGCCAUCAUUUAGUUGGGCACUCUAAGUUGACUGCCGGUGACAAACCGGAGGAAGGUGGGGAUGACGUCAAAUCAUCAUGCCCCUUAUGAUUUGGGCUACACACGUGCUACAAUGGACAAUACAAAGGGUAGCAAAACCGCGAGGUCAAGCAAAUCCCAUAAAGUUGUUCUCAGUUCGGAUUGUAGUCUGCAACUCGACUACAUGAAGCUGGAAUCGCUAGUAAUCGUAGAUCAGCAUGCUACGGUGAAUACGUUCCCGGGUC